AUGUCAACACACUUAUAUAUUCAGUCCUACUGGAAUGAUCUCCAAGUCUUGAAAAAACCGCACAUUCAGCACUCACAUCCCAGGCCAGUGAGGCCAUCCCAUUGGAUCCAACCGCCGGAGCACUUGAUGAAGGUGAAUGUAGAUGCUGCGGUUUCGGAACGACGAGGUGUAGGCUCAGUGGCAGCAAUUUGCAGAAACAGAGAUGGACUCUAUCUAGGUGCUUCAUCGGUGGUAUUCAGAGGGAUAACUGAUCCGACAACUUUGGAAGCUCUAGCGGUAAGGGAGGCCCUGGCAUUGGCAGAGGAUCUAAACAUACAAGCUAUACAUGUGGCUUCCGAUUGCUCAGUGGUGAUAGAUGAUCUCAAGAGAAGAAGCGGGGCUGGUUAUGGGGCUAUUAUACAUGAAAUACUAAAGUACUCUACUAGUUUUACUUCGUGUAAUUUUGUUCAUGAAUUUAGGAGCUCGAAUGUCGAAGCUCACAAUCUAGCAAAGCAUGCACUAAAACUGGGGCUUGGUCGCCAUGUUUGGUUGGGCCACCCUGGGGAUCUUCAUUUCGUCCAUGUAAACUAUGUGACGGAUCAAUAA
rnacentral:rRNA from 1 species